GGAAAGCCUUCUUCGGAGGGUGAGUAGAGUGGCGGACGGGUGAGUAACACGUGGGUAACCUGCCUCUAAGUUGGGGAUAACACUUCUAACGAGGUGCUAAUACCGAAUGACAAGAUGGAGCGCAUGCCUUCAUCUUCAAAGGUGGCCUCUGCCUGCAAGCUGCCGCUUAGAGAUGGGCCCGCGUCGUAUUAGCUAGUUGGUAGGGUAAUGGCCUACCAAGGCGAUGAUGCGUAGCCGGCCUUAGAGGGUGAUCGGCCACACUGGAACUGAGACAAGGUCCAGUCCCCUACGGGGGCCAGCAGUCUAGAAAUUUGCACAAUCAACGAAAGUUGGAUGCAGCGACGCCACGUGGAGGAUGAAGCCCCUCGGGGUGUAAACUUCUGUUUGAAGGGAAGAAGGCUUUCCAGAGGGG
rnacentral:rRNA from 1 species